GGAGUAAUCAUGCGACACAAAUGAAUCUGGUAUUCUCAUAAUGUGCAAAGAGAAGAACGAGAGACUGUAUAUAUAUAGAGUAAUAUAAUGCAGAACUUGUUCAUUGCACGCCUUAGAGAAGAACAUAGAGAGUUAAGGCAUAAUAUGUUAGACAGCAAAAAAUAAGCGGCCGGUCAAUUACCAACAAGCUUUGCCUGAAGAAGAAAGACGCAACAUAAUAGUAUUCGUACCAACUAUUGUUCAACACAACAACAACAACAAGAACAACAACAAAAACCAGUAUAAUCCCACAAGUGAGGUCUGGGGAGGGGAGGAUAGUGUGUACGCAGCCUUACCCCUGCCUUGAGAAGGUAGAAAGGUUGUUUCCGAUCUGUUGGUCAGCACCACGGCAACAAAAUAGCAUGUCCGAUGAUAUGGACAACUAACAGCAUCACAGACAUAAUCACAUAGUUGUAGAAUGUUAAAAAGAUCAGAAACUUUGAAAUAAGUAGAAUCAUAAAGCACUACAGAGUAAUCUAAACAGGUAGUUUCUCCUGCUUGGUGUCAAUAAUAGCAGCAUUCUUCCAGGCAGACACAAAGAAUUGCACACUAUAACCUUUUCUACUAUCAUACUUUGUGUUGUUUCUCUUCCUUUUAAAACUGACUCUCGUCGUUCAUAUCUUACCAUGUAGAAUAAGGAAUCAAACAACGAUAUUUUGUUAUCAUAGCCUGUAUCGAGACUGUGGAUUCCAGAGAUAGGAGUUGAAUGACAGUCACUUAAUUUCCUCGCCUCUGUAAUUACAGACGAUUGGCUUCUCAAACCGAUUUGAUUAUGAACAUUUCCCAGAUGAUAGCACAGCAUUCAAAAGAUCAAAUAGGAUCAAGACAAGACACGACAUGCUAAAUGAUAUUGCACAUAUUGUGGAAGCACUCUCUGUCUACAGGCUGAGACUUCACAUGUUAG
rnacentral:lncRNA from 1 species